AAAGAAACCAACAGGGAUUGCCCCAGUAACGGCGAGUGAAGCGGCAACAGCUCAAAUUUGAAAUCUGGCUUCGGCCCGAGUUGUAAUUUGUAGAGGAAGCUUCUGGCGCGGUGCCAUCCGAGUCCCCUGGAACGGGGCGCCAUAGAGGGUGAGAGCCCCGUAUGGAUGGAUGCCUAGCCUGUGUGAAGCUCCUUCGACGAGUCGAGUAGUUUGGGAAUGCUGCUCAAAAUGGGAGGUAAAUUCCUUCUAAAGCUAAAUAUUGGCCAGAGACCGAUAGCGCACAAGUAGAGUGAUCGAAAGAUGAAAAGCACUUUGAAAAGAGGGUUAAACAGCACGUGAAAUUGUUGAAAGGGAAGCGCUUGUGACCAGACUUGCGCCAGGCUGAUCAUCCGGUGUUCUCACCGGUGCACUCUGCCUGGCACAGGCCAGCAUCAGUUUUGGUGGGGGGAUAAAGGGCGCAGGAACGUAGCUCCUCCGGGAGUGUUAUAGCCUGUGUCGUAAUGCCCUCGCCGGGACUGAGGACCGCGCAUCUGCAAGGAUGCUGGCGUAAUGGUUAUCAGCGACCCGUCUUGAAACACGGACCAAGGAGUCAAGGUUUUGCGCGAGUGUUUGGGUGUAAAACCCGCACGCGUAAUGAAAGUGAACGUAGGUGAGAGCUUCGGCGCAUCAUCGACCGAUCCUGAUGUAUUCGGAUGGAUUUGAGUAAGAGCGUUAAGCCUUGGACCCGAAAGAUGGUGAACUAUGCUUGGAUAGGGUGAAGCCAGAGGAAACUCUGGUGGAGGCUCGCAGCGGUUCUGACGUGCAAAUCGAUCGUCAAAUCUGAGCAUGGGGGCGAAAGACUAAUCGAACCAUCUAGUAGCUGGUUACCGCCGA
rnacentral:rRNA from 1 species